GACCUACUCCCUCUGUUCCGAAUUACUUGUCGCAGGUAUGGAUGUAUCAAGAUGUAUUUUAGUUCUAGAUACAUGUAUUUUAGUUCUAGAUACAUCCAUUUCUGCGAUGAGUAAUUUGGAAUGGAGGGAGUGUUUA
rnacentral:pre_miRNA from 1 species